rnacentral:rRNA from 1 species
AGUGAACGCUGGCGGUAGGCCUAACACAUGCAAGUCGAACGGCAGCACCGUAAGAGCUUGCUCUUACGGGUGGCGAGUGGCGGACGGGUGAGGAAUACAUCGGAAUCUACUUUUUCGUGGGGGAUAACGUAGGGAAACUUACGCUAAUACCGCAUACGACCUACGGGUGAAAGCAGGGGAUCUUCGGACCUUGCGCGAUUGAAUGAGCCGAUGUCGGAUUGGCUAGUUGGCGGGGUAAAGGCCCACCAAGGCGAGGAUCCGUACCUGGUCUGGGAGGCUGAUCAGCAACACUGGAACUGAGACACGGUCCAGACUCCUACGGGAGGCAGCAGUGGGGAAUAUUGGACAAUGGGCGCAAGCCUGAUCCAGCCAUACCGCGUGGGUGAAGAAGGCCUUCGGGUUGUAAAGCCCUUUUGUUGGGAAAGAAAAGCAGCAGGUUAAUACCCCGCUGUUCUGACGGUACCCAAAGAAUAAGCACCGGCUAACUUCGUG